UAUGAGCUCUAUUUUAAUGUUAAUGCCAGUCAGCUGUGCCUAAACUCCAACAGGGAGGGGGAAUAAUGAGGUAUAUCCGACCUCCCUUCCCAUCAUGGUGGGGAAUUCAUUUUUUCAGGUUUCCCUUGGCCCAGAGAGAGUCUGUUCAGUUGGUUGGGGGUGCUUAGGAUGUUAUUUUUAGUUUCCAAAGCAAACAUAUGGUCCCACUCUGUUUGCCUGUUUUUGGCUCAGGCAGGAACAUGUGACCCAGUUGCAGCCAAUGAGAUGUCAGGAGAAGUCAACUGGGGGCUUCUGGGAAAUGGUUCUUAGCUCCUAGAAAGAGAUAGAAGGAAGAGAUGGCCCCCUUCUCACCUCAGGAUGUUGUGUGUGGAUGUUUGCCUGGAGCUGUAGCAGCCGUUUCAAUGCCAUGAGGAGAGACAUGAAGAUAGCAGUGAAGACAGAAAGAACUGGAGUCCUUGCUGUUGUAAUUAGCUGCAGAAUUAACCACCUCUCGAACUGCCCUACCUCUGAAUGCCUUGUAAAGGGAGAGGAUAAAUGUCUUUACCAUUGAAGCACCUUUUGUUGUGUUUAUUAUUUGCAACCAAGCAGAUCCUGACUGUUAAAAUGCUUGAUGCUCCAUUUCAUGCCAGCUACCAGAAAAAGGUGGGACAGUUGGUCAGCCAGCUGAGUCUAGGGAGAAUCCUGAGCUUAUUAACCCGUUGCUGCCUGCGUCAUUGGCCUGUGCCUAUAAAACGAGAGAUGUUGCUUCCUUUUUAGGUUCACAUGAUGACAGCACAAGCCUUCACCAGCCUCUGUAAAGGAAAUGAGAUUCUUUACAAUCCCACUGGGGAGUUUCGAGAGGGCCCCCUUACAGACAUGGUGGAAGAGGAAGCACUCAGUCUCUUUUCUUCAAAGCUUCUCAUCUGAAUGAGGCUGCUCUCUCCCUCUGCCUCCUGUGUUAAUCGGGGACAGCAUUAGGGGAAGUCUGCAUCUGCAGACCAUUUUGGAGGAGUGAGCUAGUGACUGCAAAGUGCUUAGAACAGUGCCUAGCACAUAAUAAACACUCAGCAAAUGUGGCUGUUGUUAUAACUAAUUUUUUCGUUUGUUUUGAGAUGGUGUUUUGUUCUUGUUGCCCAGGCUGGAGUGCAGUGGCACAAUCUCAGCUCACUGUAACCUCUGGUGCUGCACGAGGUGAUGUGUUUGCAGAGUUUUUUUUUGCCCUUGAAGAGCACUUAUGACUGGAGAGCAAGAUACAUGCCUACAAGCAGAAGCUGACGGGCUUGCUGUCAUGUGGGAAAGUCCUUGGACGAGCUGUCUGCUUGCAGGGAGGUGUCUGCAGUUCAGGCUGUACUUGUGAGAGUCUUCGUGGACCAUGGUGCUGCACGAGGUGAUGUGUUUGCAGAGGUUUUUUUGCCCUUGAAGAGCACUUACGACUGGAGAGCAAGACACAUGCCGACACGCAGAAGCUGACGGGCUUGCCGCCACGUGGGAAAGUCCUUGGACAAGCUGUCUGCUUGCGGGGAGGUGUCUGCGGCUCAGGCACUUAAAGAAGACCCAAAAUUCAGUGAGCAAGUCCCCAUCAACCACCAGAAACAGAAAACAGGUGUGUUGUGCUGAGAGCCACAUGACCAAGGCUGGGAGGACUCCCCUCCCUGAGACGCCAAGAUAAACACACUCACAGCAUCGCCAUGGAAAUAGUGGCUUAUAGUUCAAAUGCUCAGGAGGGGAUAGGAAAAAAAAAUCAGGGCAGCACCAUAGAGAACAAUUUCCCUCAUCAACUUCUGUGCUCCUCCCAAGGGCAGAGGACCUGCAAAUUACAUCACGGCCUCUUGAGUAGUUUCCACAAGGACCGAUGUUGAUGGGGAUCUAGAAAAACAAAGGCAAGCCGUGCCCCAGACAAGUCUUCAUCUCAGAAGCGGAAGUCCUUGGCAUAAGCCAACCAUAUUGGCAAAGCCCUCGCUGGGUGAAAAGUGCAAAGCGAGGACAAAGAGAUGAUGAGAAAACCAAGUCUGAACAUUUGCUUGGACAAGUUAGAGUCAAGGAGACAGAGCUGGAGCUGAAAAAAGAAAUCCAGUGUUAACAGGAGGCGUCCAGUGUGUUAACGGCUGUUGUCCAAUACGGUAACUGCUGGCCACAUGUGGCUAUUGAACCCUGAAAUGUGGCUAAUGCAACUGAGAAACUGGACUUUUAGUUUAAUUUAACUUUAAUCAACCUAAAUUCAAAAACUGAUACUUGAUUCAGUUGUUAGGAAACUUUUGAAGUAUGUUUGACACAACUUUAGAAGGUGAAUCUAGCUUUUCAACUGUGACUGGAGUCUUUUAUGGAAUUUACAGUUUUUAAAUCAAUCAUAAAAUGUACAUAACUUUACACAUUUUCCGUUAACAUAUAACAUGCAAAUUGACAUACAAAUAAGUAUAAAAUGCACAUCGAAUUUCGAAGACUUGGUACCAAAAAAUAAUGUAAACUGUCUAAUUCGUAUUUUUUAAUAUUGUUGGCCUGUUGAAAUGGUAAUAUUUUAGAUGUGCUGGGUUAAGGAAUAUAUGUUAUUAAAAUUAUCUUCACCUACUUCUUUUUAUUUUUUCAAGUUGCCAAUAGAAAAUUUAAAACUACAUAGGCAGCUUGAAUUCUGUUUCUAUUGGACAGGGCGGCUACAGUCAGUCGGGAGCUGACAGAUACUUCAGGCCAGAGAGGCUGUUGACACCGGUCAAUUGUUUUGGUGCCUCCUGUCCUGUGCUCACUCCCCAGUCACCACCUUGGGAGUAAAUGUUAGCUGAGAAGCUGUUGCUCACCCAGAGAGGAAGUAUGGUGUAAUUAGAAAACUGAAUCAUAACUUAGAUAUUUUACAGCUCCCUCUGUUAUCAUGGACUCUGGAACAUUCCAUAGAGUCUCAAUACCCUGAGUAAUUUCUGGGGAAUUUUGACUCUGAUCACCCAAGUAAUUGGGUCAGGCUUGGUCUGACUUCUCAAAACCCCAAAAGUCCUAUACCCUGAAUAUGCCAGGCUCUGUGGACCAGCUGAUGUACCCUGAGCUGCCGCAGGUAGAUUCUAGAGUUUGAGAUACAUAAGAAUGCAAUGGUUUUAUAAAUCUAAAAUUAUUUCAGAUUAAAAAGUUUAUUUUUAAAAAUAUGUAACAAGUCUUGGGCCUGAAGCCAACCUGAAGAUUUCUCAUUUUAUGACCACAAGAUACGGCUUAGUAGUUCCUGAAGGAGUCAUUCUCUAGUUCUCUGCCUACCAAUAUGGCGGCCACCAGCCCUGUGGGGUACUGAGUGCUUUCUCCCUUCGGGUGGAGUUGGAUCACAUGGAGAUACGCCACACAUGUGGAAUACACACUGAAUUCCAAAGGCUUAGUAUGGAAAAAUCAUGCAAAAUAUCACCUUAAUAAUUUGUAUAUAUUGAGCACGUUUUGAAAUGAUAAUAUUUCAGAUAUACUGGGCUAAGGAAAAUACAUUAUUAAAAUUAAUUUCAUCUGUUCACCUGUUUCUUUUUUACCCUUGUUAGUGUGGCUACUAGGAAAUUCAAAAUACACACACAGUUUGCACCUGUGGCUCAAAUUCUAUUUCUUUUUUUUCUUUUCUUUUUUGAGA